ACGCUCGACACCUACGGAGGCAGCAGUGAGGAAUAUUGCACAAUGGGGGAAACCCUGAUGCAGCGACGCCGCGUGAAGGAAGAAGUAUCUCGGUAUGUAAACUUCUAUCAGCAGGGAAGAAAAUGACGGUACCUGACUAAGAAGCCCCGGCUAACUACGUGCCAGCAGCCGACGGUAAUCUGAGCGGGCUGGCAAGGC
rnacentral:rRNA from 1 species